ensembl:lncRNA
CAUCAUUAUAGCCAAUAAUAACUUCUCUAAAUUGAAAGCUGAUAUUGUCACAUGGCCAUUUUGGAUUAUUUGGAGUUUUAGAAAAAUAGGUGAGAAAUGAGAUCAUGUCACUGCCCAGAGUCUCAAUGACCCUGGUUUAUCAAGGGGAUAAUGAAGAGGGAAGGAAUAUAGGUUAAAAGAAUUAGGUAACUCCCUCAAAUUAAGGCUACAAAAUCCUUCAUAAGAGUUUUAGAAUAGUCUUGAAUCCCACAACACCUUCCAUGAAAGCCAUGGUAGAUUGGAUUAUGUGUCCCAAUACUGUGAAGAAUAAUAAAAAUAUAGUCACACACUUUGCCACAUAACUUUCAGUGUCUUCCCACUUUGGAUGGUAUCUACUUUCCCACCUGAUAGUGAGCUUUGGGAAUCACUUUGGCCAAUGGAAUAUUAGCAAACAUAUGGUAGCAGAAGCCAUAGACAUGCUUAUGUUAACUCCUUGAACACUUAUGCUGCAGAAAUCACCUUGAGAACUGGACCUGAGAAGGAGAUCCAUGAAGGGAACAUACUUGAAUCUUCUGGUUUCCUGGAGCCCAGACUGACCCAGCACAGUUACAGCUGCCCAUUGCCCAUUAGGCCUGUGGCUGUGAGCCUUGGGCAGACUCCUGUUCAGAUGAACUUCUAUGCUUCUCUUCAUUUAAACAAAAAACAAACCGGAUUGAUGUUUUUGUUUUACUCUUACCACCAAAGAAAAUUGUUUCAACUUGUUUAAAGUGCUUCCCAGGGCAAUGAUAUCUAACAAAAGAUCAUUUGUAAGGGAUUCAUUUCAAAAUGCAUGGCCUUGCUGUAAUGUCCACUAUAGAGAAAGAUCUUAGCUUAAAUUAUACCACAGCUAUUUUAAAUGGAUUUUUAAAUUAUCUACCUUUGCAUUUCAUCAUGAAUGUUUCAGGGAAAUUAUCCUGAGAUAAUGCCAACAAAUGGCUGCAGACUUUAGGUUUAUAAUUGCUCUUGUUCAUUUAAGGUUCCCAGCAGACCAUAUCAGGAAAUUCAAUGCCUGGCAAGUCGAGGUUGAUAAUAUACCGUAACUGGCAUUUUCUUAUUAGACGAGCACCCAAAUCAGCUUUCAUUUGUAGCAAUGACCCUAAUUAAGAGAAUCAUGAUUUAAAGCCGAGUCUUUGCAUUUUAAGAAUCAGAUCUGGAUAUGGUGAUGUUAGCCAAAGCGUUAUUUUUUUCCUAGAAAAUUGGCAUAAUCUAACUUUAAUUUUAAUUUUUCAAAAGUAUUUCACAUAUUUUUUUUCAAUUCCACUUUGAGAAGCUUCCUUCAAGCUGCUGAGUAUGUAUAUGAAUAGGUAAAAAUGUUUACCUACACAUCUUCCUUAUACAUAUGCAUACAUACUUCUGUCUUCACUAAAUGAUUUGGCUUUGGAGCUGCAAGAGAUGUGAGUAAAAGAAUCACUUAAUGUGAUCUCCACCAUCCCCACUCUCAUAAGUGGAAAAACUGAGGACUUGGAAACUAAGGUAGUUUGCUUUGGAUCAUCAGAUGGCAAAGCCUCUUGAUGAGAUGUAUAACCCCUCCCCCAAAAAGUACCUCUGAAAGAUAUUAUGUGUGGUAUAAGUUAAUGUCCCUGACUUUUCUUAAUUUACCCGGUCAACAGAAAUCAUUCAUUGCUAUGGGCCACAAAUGUGAUCACCCUAAAAUUUUAUAACAUUACUCUAAGGGACCAUUAUUACCAUAAAAUUAUCUCGUAGCAGAGUGUAAGGAUCUUUAAAUA